AGCGGUAGAGAGAAGCUUGCUUCUCUUGAGAGCGGCGGACGGGUGAGUAAUGCCUAGGAAUCUGCCUGGUAGUGGGGGAUAACGUUCGGAAACGGACGCUAAUACCGCAUACGUCCUACGGGAGAAAGCAGGGGACCUUCGGGCCUUGCGCUAUCAGAUGAGCCUAGGUCGGAUUAGCUAGUUGGUGGGGUAAUGGCUCACCAAGGCGACGAUCCGUAACUGGUCUGAGAGGAUGAUCAGUCACACUGGAACUGAGACACGGUCCAGACUCCUACGGGAGGCAGCAGUGGGGAAUAUUGGACAAUGGGCGAAAGCCUGAUCCAGCCAUGCCGCGUGUGUGAAGAAGGUCUUCGGAUUGUAAAGCACUUUAAGUUGGGAGGAAGGGUUGUAGAUUAAUACUCUGCAAUUUUGACGUUACCGACAGAAUAAGCACCGGCUAACUCUGUGCCAGCAGCCGCGGUAAUACAGAGGGUGCAAGCGUUAAUCGGAAUUACUGGGCGUAAAGCGCGCGUAGGUGGUUUGUUAAGUUGGAUGUGAAAUCCCCGGGCUCAACCUGGGAACUGCAUUCAAAACUGACUGACUAGAGUAUGGUAGAGGGUGGUGGAAUUUCCUGUGUAGCGGUGAAAUGCGUAGAUAUAGGAAGGAACACCAGUGGCGAAGGCGACCACCUGGACUAAUACUGACACUGAGGUGCGAAAGCGUGGGGGAGCAAACAGGAUUAGAUACCCUGGUAGUCCACGCCGUAAACGAUGUCAACUAGCCGUUGGAAGCCUUGAGCUUUUAGUGGCGCAGCUAACGCA
rnacentral:rRNA from 1 species